rnacentral:misc_RNA from 1 species
UCGCGGCUUAUCACCGGCAGUCUCCUUAGAGUGCUCAACUAAAUGGUAGCAACUAAGGACGGGGGUUGCGCUCGUUGCGGGACUUAACCCAACAUCUCACGACACGAGCUGACGACAACCAUGCACCACCUGUGUACCGACCUUGCGGGGCACCCAUCUCUGGAUGUUUCCGGUACAUGUCAAGCCUUGGUAAGGUUCUUCGCGUUGCGUCGAAUUAAACCACAUGCUCCGCUGCUUGUGCGGGCCCCCGUCAAUUCCUUUGAGUUUUAGCCUUGCGGCCGUACUCCCCAGGCGGGGCGCUUAAUGCGUUAGCUACGGCACAGAGACCGUGGAAUGGCCCCCACACCUAGCGCCCACCGUUUACGGCGUGGACUAC